ACACUGCUGAGGAGUCCCAUACCAGGACGAAACGGCCGUCCAGUGU
rnacentral:hammerhead_ribozyme from 1 species